UACGGAGGGUGCAAGCGUUAUCCGGAUUCACUGGGUUUAAAGGGUGCGUAGGUUGAUAGGUAAGUCAGUGGUGAAAUACUCCGACUCAAUCGGAGAACUGCCGUUGAUACUAUUUAUCUUGAAUACGGUGGAGGCGGGCGGAAUGCGUCAUGUAGUGGUGAAAUACUUAGAUAUGACGCAGAACACCCAUUGCGAAGGCAGCUCGCUACACCGGCAUUGACACUGAGGCACGAAAGCGUGGGGAUCAAACAGG
rnacentral:rRNA from 1 species